GGUUUGAGUCAGCGGGGCCUGACGGUCAUAAAAGCAGCCAGUAGAGGUCGUUGUCCAAGAAGAGCAGGUUGGGGUGCAGAGAGGGGAGGUCCCCAAACCUCAAAGGCGUGUGGGCGGAAGAAAAGAUAAAAGCUUCAGGAAAAGCAGGCCAAGUCCAAACUCAUUGCAGGCGAUGGUGGCUGGGACGGAUCUUGGCCCUCCCAUGGGUGAAGCCAGAGCUCCAGACCCAUUUCAACAGGGACGAACUAAUUCAGGACAAGAUCAAUGCAGUCAGGUCCAGAGGGGUGUGUGCCAGGGGCAGGAGCGAGGCGGUGCUGCUCGGGGUGGACACGGAGCUGUGACGACGCUGAAUCCCUCGUCCAGGCAGCCCGGCCUUGUCAGCUCGCCAUGGCUUCGAGAACGCACAUUCCUCGCCCUCUCCGGCAGCUACCCCCUGGGUCCCGACACAGCCACCCUCAUGUUCACUUGAAGUGAAAAAAGAUGUUUGGUGAAAUAACUGCAGCCUGGAGCCAAACAACUAACACCAUCUUUAAUUUUGUUUAUUGUAAUAAAAUGUGUUAAUGAAAAAGUGCAAAAAUAGAUAAUAGAAAUUAAUGUACUGUGACAUAAAAUUUUGCUUGAAAAUCAAGGCAAGUACAGUAAAAGCUAAUAUGUUUAAAUGAGCAUUGCAUAAUGUAUAUCUAACAACUAUAAAAAUCAUUUUAUUGAAGUAUAUCUGCAAAUCAUACAACAUGAAAAAUGACAGCAAUAUGCUCGAGACAGACUAAGUCUAGUCUAUGGAAACAAAUUUUGAUCAGUAUUUAAAAGUUAUUCUGGAUAAUCACAGGAAACGGGAGUUUAAAAGUAUCUGCACAUACUCUAUUUUUUCCUGUUUGUAUCCAAGUAUCAUUUAAUCUAACUCUAGUAUUGUAAAUUAUUAUACUCAAUUCCUUUAUAAAACAUCAUUUUGAUUCAAAUAAAAAUAAACCAUCACUAUCACUUACAUAAUAGGAUACAUAGGUGUACACAGACAGUAUACGGUAUAGGGUAUAAGAACAGUAUAUGGUAUAAGACAGUAUAUGGUACAAGAACACAUUAUACGGUAUACACCAUGUUACAUGGUAUUAUAUGGAAAAAUGUGGGAGAUCGAAAAUAUCAUUAGAUUUUAUAUAUGAUGUUACUAAUAAUAUCACUAAUUUUAAGUUUGUAAUAUUAUCUAAGUUAUAAAUCACUUAAGAAGUCUUCAAAAAUACAGUAUAUCAUUUGUAUUGUUUUUAAAUAGUACUUUUUAAAAUAUGCUCACUUACCAACCAAUAAAUCUUAAAUGAAUUAGGAAAAUGUAUAACAAUUUCAGUCUUAUAUUUAAGAUCUUUCAAAUAAGCAUGUUAUGAUUUAGUAUCAAAAAUACUUUUUUUACUCUAUUUUUUUCUAAUUACUGGAAAAAUUAAUGAAUAUCCACAUAAGCAUUUGUUGGAACUAAAUGUAAUAACAGUUCGAGGUCAUUGCUUCUAUGAAAUGUUCGAAUACAGUAAACAAAAAUAGAUGUUUUAUUUCAAAGUAAGGAUAUCUUGUUUUGAAUAUUGAGCAUUAAAAUCGAUGGCAAAUUGAAUAAUACCCUUUUUUAAAAGAUUUAUUUAAUUAUGCAUGCAAGAACUGGAGUGUAGGCCAGAGGUGCAGUGGGUGAGAGGAUUCAACAGAGUGGGGAGCAGAACAGGUGGAUCCACUGAAAUCCACAACUGAGGGGAGCAGUGGGGAGAUUGGAGAGGUCUCCUGCCCUCUCC